AAGAUCCCAGGCACAAAAGAAGCGCUGGAAACCACUUGACUUGGUCGAUCCUGCUGUCCCAAUGCUCACUGGCCACAACCAAGAUGAGGCAGUCAGUCGUUUUCCAUCUGACCAGCAGACGGCACCAGCCAGGUUAUCUUUGGAAACACAGGAUAGACCCACCUCCUUAUGUUCCCAGGUCCCAAGCAGACAGCACCAGCCAGCUUGUCCUUGGAAACGGAGAAUAGACCCACCUCCUUAUGUCCUCCAGGCAGCAAGAUUUCAGACACUCGUCUACCAGCAAAACGAGUCUGGGCAACCGAUGAUUUCCACACGGCAUCAAUUCUCCACCUAAAAAAGCCUUUCCACACACAAAUGAACAACUACUGACAGAGGAGCUACAGAGAAACGCAGUUCAGCACUUCUGGUGUGUCAGUGCAACUCAUUGUCAAGUGAUGAAAGGUACACAGAAUUCUCUCGAAAUCAUCAGUGCACAUGUAAUGCCCUCACAUUCCUGGCCUACCUUAAUGAGGAACACCAGUUCAACACAGCCCGACUUGAUAAGGUGCUUGAACAGGGAGAUGCACUCUACUGUUGGAUUAAAACAAAUCUUCAGCAGGAGAGGCGUUAUACACAAAAUCAUCUGACCAUGGAGGACCUGCCCAAAGAAGUUCAUGCUGACAUAAAUGUCUACAGUGUGAAAAUGGACAACAUAAGGUACGGAUACCUGAAAGCAGAGGACAAACUUAUCAAAGAAAAGGAUGGUGGUUGCCUCUUGCUAGUCGCCUUGUAUGUCUGUCAACAGAUGUGAACUAUGCUUUGCUCAUGGUUUCGCCUCAGUGCAUUGCAGUUUUCCGUGACAAAUCUGGGAGGUAUGGAUUAUUUGAUUCACAUUCAAGAAGUGCAGCAGGUUUACCCCAGCCAAAUGGAACAGCAGUCAUGCUCACUUUCACUCAUGUGAAUGACCUGAUCACCCACCUGCAUAACCUUUUCCAAAUCAAGGCAGGUAUGCAAGAUAUGAGUUUGUGCCUGUUUCUUUCAAAAGAGUCAGCACUCACAACGAACAGCCUGCACAGUCAACUCAAGCAACACCAGGAGCAACAGCUACAUCACCACAAAAUGAUGAACCACAAAUCACAAAUCCCACUGUGCAAGUGCCUCAACCAGAAUCAGCCCAAACCUACAUGACAAUGUUAGAAAGUGCUUUAAACCCACAACAAGACAAAAUGGCUUCAAAUCAAAUUUGUGAACAUCAACUUGAAACAUCUGUUGAUCCAACAAGCAACAUCCAAACAGAACAACAAGAAAAUCUCGAACUCAAUAAUGAAAGAGAUAAAGUCCUAGAUAAACCCCCCCAAAAAGCAAGAAAUGUAUGCAGAUUAAAUAAACGACGGCGUGGGAAAGCUAUUCGUCAAGCUCAAAGUCACAAGCAGCAUCUAAAAGCUAAAGAAAAUCUUCAUCUGAAGACUUGGCAAAGAAGAUAAACAAAAAAAGACACGAAAAGCAACGAUAUGCCUGCUUUCCUGAAUUUCGAAUGAAAAAAUUACAGGCUGUGAAAACUCAAUAUGCUCAAAACUGUCAUCGCCGUAAACAAAAACUGUUGUCAGCCAAAGGUUAUUAUGCAAAUCCUCAUAUUCAAGAGAAGAUAAAAGCCCACAAAGUGAAGAGAUACCAAAAUGAUCCUCAUUUUCAACAAAAAAAGAGAGACUACAUUAUCAGAAGAUAUACCACAGAUGCCAGCUUUCGAACCAGACAGAAACAAUAUGUGUUCCGAAGAUACAACACGGAUGCUGACUUUCAAA